rnacentral:rRNA from 1 species
ACGGAGGGUGCGAGCGUUAUUCGGAUUUAUUGGGCGUAAAGAGCGUGUAGGCGGCCGGCCAAGCCAGAUGUGAAAGCCCAGGGCUUAACCCUGGAAGUGCAUUUGGAACUGGUUGGCUUGAGUUCGGGAGAGGGAAGUGGAAUUCCCAGUGUAGGAGUGAAAUCCGUAGAUAUUGGGAGGAACACCCGUGGCGAAGGCGGCUCUCUGGGACGGUACUGACGCUGAGACGCGAAAGCGUGGGGAGCGAACA